AUUGAACGCUGGCGGCAGGCCUAACACAUGCAAGUCGAACGAGUGGCGGACGGGUGAGUAAUGUCUGGGAAACUGCCUGAUGGAGGGGGAUAACUACUGGAAACGGUAGCUAAUACCGCAUACCCUCAGAUGUGCCCAGAUGGGAUUAGCUAGUUGGUGUGGUAACGGCGCACCAAGGCGACGAUCCCUAGCUGGUCUGAGAGGAUGAAAAGCAACACUGGAAUUGAGACACGGUCCAGUCUCCUACGGGUGGCAGCAGUGGGGAAGAUUGCCCAAUGGGCGAAAGCCUGAUGCAGCCAUGUCGCGUGUAUGAAGAAGGCCUUCGGGUUGUAAAGUACUUUCAGCGGGUAGGCGUUACCCGCAGAAGAAGCACCGGCUAACUUCGUGCCAGCAGGCGCGGUAAUAC
rnacentral:rRNA from 1 species